rnacentral:rRNA from 1 species
AUUGAACGCUGGCGGCAGGCCUAACACAUGCAAGUCGAACGAGUGGCGGACGGGUGAGUAAUGUCUGGGAAACUGCCCGAUGGAGGGGGAUAACUACUGGAAACGGUAGCUCAUACCGCAUACCAUCGGAUGUGCCCAGAUGGGAUUAGCUUGUAGGUGAGGUAACGGCUCACCUAGGCGACGAUCCCUAGCUGGUAUGAGAGGCGGAACAGUCAAACGGGAAAUGAGAAACGGUCGAGAAUCCGACGGGAUGCAGCAGUGGGGAAUAUGGCAAAAUGGGCGGAAGGCUGAUGCAGCCAUGCCGCGUGGAUGAAGAAGGCCUUCGGGUUGUAAAGUACUUUCAGCGGGGAGGCGUUACCCGCAGAAGAAGCCCCGGCUAACUCCGUGCCAGCCGCCGCGGUAAUAC